CCUACGGGAGGCAGCAGUGGGGAAUAUUGCACAAUGGGGGAAACCCUGAUGCAGCGACGCCGCGUGAGUGAAGAAGUAUUUCGGUACGUAAAGCUCUAUCAGCAGGGAAGAAAAUGACGGUACCUGACUAAGAAGCCCCGGCUCACUACGUGCCAGCAGCCGCGGUAACACGUAGGGGGCAAGCGGUAUCCGGAUUUACUGGGUGUAAAGGGAGCGUAGACGGGAGCGCAAGGCUGGAGUGAAAUCCCAUGGCUUAACCAUGGAACUGCUGUGGAAACUGGGCAGCUAGAGUGCAGGAGAGGUAAGCGGAAUUCGUGGUGUAGCGGUGAAAUGCGUAGAUAUUAGGAGGAACACCAGUGGCGAAGGCGGCUUACUGGACUGUAACUGACGUUGAGGCUCGAAAGCGUGGGGAGCAAACAGGAUUAGAUACCCUAGUAGUC
rnacentral:rRNA from 1 species